UAUAGUAAUGAUGAUUUCAACAAAGAAGUGUAACAAUAAAGUAAAAUAACAUGAUUCUCAUUUAUAAGUUUAUAACAGUUGUAAUUUCAAGUUUGACAAUAUUAAAGUUUCAGUAAUUUUAGUUGUAUAAUGUUGGUAAUGUAUAAGUAGUUUCAGCUUCAGGCCCGCCCAAAUUAAAUGGAAGUAAAUUAACUUAUAAGAAGAAUAAUAAAAUGUUUUUCUAAAUUUAAAGUUAUAGUUUUGAAAUAAUGGCAUGUAAGGGUAAGAUAAAUGUGAAAUUUAAAAUUAAAACAAUACAAAUAUUCUUUUCAAUUUAAAUUUCAAAGGGCAUGUAAGGGCAAAGUCGAUGUUUAAGUCGAACCAUAAUACUCUCAUUCGAUAGGUAAUAACAACACUAGAGAAAUAAGGAUAGACAUAUGUAAAAACACUUAGGUUAAAAAGAGAUAGCGCUAUACGAAUAAAGAACACUUCCAAGA